rnacentral:rRNA from 1 species
UACGGAGGAGGCAAGCGUUAUCCGGAAUUACUGGGCGUAAAGCGUGCGCAGGCGGUUAUGUAAGACAGAUGUGAAAUGCCCGGGCUUAACCUGGGAACUGCAUUUGUGACUGCAUGGCUAGAGUUUGGCAGAGGGGGGUAGAAUUCCACGUGUAGCAGUGAAAUGCGUAGAUAUGUGGAGGAACACCGAUGGCGAAGGCAGCCCCCUGGGUCAAGACUGACGCUCAUGCACGAAAGCGUGGGGAGCAAACAGG